UGUUGUCUAAAUAAUUAUCACAUUUGGAUUUGCUAUAAACCAUGUUUUGUAUAUGGACUCAGAAAUGUUGAAUUUUGAAUGUAAUGGUGAAACUCGUAUUAACAAUAUGUUUUUAAAGUUAUAUUAGUGAUCUCCAUAACAGGUGAAAAACAUAAUGUGCAUUUUCUGUGAUAUAUUAAAUUUUGUAAUAUUUUAAAAUUUUAGUGAUUUUAAGGGUUUUAGAAGAAAGAUUUUGAAAUUAAAGAAUUUUAUUUCUAAAGCUUAUUGCAUUUACAAAAUUCUUUCCAACUUUAUUAAUUAAUAAUAAAUAAAUUACUGGGAUAAUCCAGAGCAUUAUUGUAAACUAAGACAAUGCAAUAUUUUAUAAUUCAAACAGUUUAUAUUUUUUAUAAAUUUUACCGACUACUAGGCUAAUAAAAAAAAUUUCAUUGAUCUGCCAGCACCUGCGAAUUGACUUUUCACAACCCAUAUAGCACUGGAUGUAUCUUUCUUCAGCGAUAGAUUUCUGACUAGCAGCUGCCUUAGACUUUGAAAGCGUAUUGAUAAAAAAUUAUUAUUGGCCAGACCUAUUCAGACGCUGGCUAAGUACAGCAGUAAAAGGUAGCAAAAGUCCACACAUGUCUUUGAAUAAGAAGGAUGGAAGUGUUUUGCUGUCAUGCUUAUAAAAAAGGAUCAAUAAAUUUGUUUCUAUAAUA